rnacentral:lncRNA from 1 species
UUCAGUUAUUUAUUUUGAAUCUGUAUGUAGUGUAGUGUUGUGAAUUAGUAAAGAAGAGUUUAUGCAUAUAUCAAGUUAAUUAUAUUACUAUCAUAUUUCAUAAAACUUUAAAGUGAAAAAACAUUCACAUUCUUUGAUGUGGUGACGUCCGUUUAAUUAUAUAUUAAUUGCAAGUUACUAACUUAUGUCGUGAAAUACUAUUGUCACUAUUGUAGCCUAGUGUGAUUUUGUAUUGUUGGAUUCAAAACUACCGGUAUUUGAGAAUCAACUAUUCUUUCCAUGAGAGCUGUCCUGAUGAAGAAAAUGGCGACCCAGCGCUAUUCUCAGCGAAAUUGUCUGACUGUGUUUAUUGCAUACAAAGACUUGGGUUGGUUGUGUCAGGACUCUGAUGAGAAGUGUCUCACUCUAUCCAAACAGAACUUCAUUGCGCAACUGAUGAGACAGUUUCAGCGUUUCAUUACAUCAAUCCUCAAUAUCUAGGUGGAAGCAAGUGAGGAGACACAAGCAAGAGCUCUGCUCCUUCUGCGCAGAGUUGUCAACAGUGAUGCCCAGUUCUAUUCUCAGUUUUUCUCGCGAGAACAAGAUGGUGUGCUAGCAUGCCAUCACCAUGCAAAUCGGGCCUCCAUAUUCUCAAGGUUAGACAUGUGUUUCUUCAUAAUUUAUUACUAGCAGACUUUCUGUGAACAUAGACUUGGCGCAGUUAUAAACCACAGCGUCCUCUAAUACUGUUCAUCAGAGUAAAUUCUAUCCUGUCUUGUGUCGGCGAGAUAUCUGUGCGAAAACGUUUACCGUAUUGUCUGAUUGGGUUGAAAAGUUUUAAAAAUUUGGUACUAUGGGAUAUGUUUUUUAAUAACCAAACAAGUAUCCCUAAUAGUCCAGUCAAUAUAGACAUAAGAAAGGGGUGUGCUUGCAAUUUAUAUUGUAGUUCUGAUUUUUUAAUAUAUUAUUAGGGUACAUAAGAGAAGUCCAGAACCAAUUUCUCCAUGCAAA